ACAAUUGCUGUCUGCAGCUUUUUAUUUAUUUAUUUUGAAAGUUUGAAAGAAAUUGAAAGUUAUUCACAAUGAAUUUUGGUUGCUGCACGAAACUGGUAUAAGUUAGCAACAGCAACUAAGGUUGGUCAUUUUUUUUGCAAAAUAAACCCAGUUCAGGAUGAUCGGAACACAGAAGCAUAUCUUAAAUUGAAAAUUGAUGGUUCGUUUCAAGAUCUUAUUGAAAUGCACCCUCCUCCAUUUUCUUUAAUCUAGCAAUGAUUCUGCAUGACACAUUUGUUCUUAAUGGAAAGGCGUCUUAAAGACAAACAUGGAUUGAGGAAGACAAAAAGCUACAGGAGGUGCUCUGUAACCUAUUGGUUCCAGGACCGGCCUCUCUGAACUCUUUCUGUGACCCCAAUUUCAUCCUAUGUCCAUGGUCUCUUUGGACGCUGCAGUCACCCGUAAUUGGUUUUGACAUUCUGUGUUUCGCAGUGUGUGUGAACAAGCUGUCUUUGGUGUACCAUGUCCAUGAGGUUCAUGGGAAGAAGCUAGCAAAGCCCUGCCCAAAUCUAAGCUUCCCCCUCCUCUUGUCUCCUCCUCUCCGGUCUAGAUCCAUUGGCUGGCAUCUCUGUGGUGGAAUGCUGCUGGGACCCCCUUCUAACCUCCUCUCAACCCUCCCCUUGAGUCCACCCAUCCACCCAUUAGGAAUUCCAGCAGGGCACUGUGGGUGGGAUGAAUGGCAUGAGAGCCAAGGAAAUGAAACAGAACUGUACAGUAUCUCUCUCUUAUUCUGUUUGGGAGUGGGUGAAGAGAGCAAGAGGGGCCCUAAAUCAAAUAAACAUCACAGCCCUGAUUGCUUCAUCUCUGCUUUCCAAGAAAACCAGACAUCCAGGCUGAGAAUAAACUCUAUUUGCAUUGUCUCUUCCGGCCGUGGACCUCUAAGUGUAUUUUAUUGAAUCCGGUCUCAUUAGAGAGCUGGACCAGCAGAGAUGAUGCUGCUGUAGACAGCACUCAACUAUAGCACUUAUAUCCAGAGAGAUAUAUAUGAACACUACACUGUGUUUUGGACCCAUAAUGGAUUCUUCCCCAC
rnacentral:lncRNA from 1 species